rnacentral:rRNA from 7 species
AAAAUUAGAGUGUUCAAAGCAGGCAGAUCCAAUUUUCUGCCACCGAAUACAUUAGCAUGGGAUAAUGGAAUAGGACCCUGUCCUCCUAUUUUCAGUUGGUUUUGGCAGCGCGAGGACUAGGGUAAUGAUUAAUAGGGAUAGUUGGGGGCAUUAAUAUUUAAUUGUCAGAGGUGAAAUUCUUGGAUUUAUGAAAGAUUAACUUCUGCGAAAGCAUCUGCCAAGGAUGUUUUCAUUAAUCAAGAACGAAAGUUAGGGGAUCGAAGACGAUCAGAUACCGUCGUAGUCUUAACCAUAAACGAUGCCGACCAGCGAUUAGGAGACGUUGAAUACAAAACACCACCAUCGGUGCGGUCGUCCUUGGCGCGUUGGUCUUCAAAAGCCAGCGCGCGGGGGCGGCUUAGCCCGGUGGCACCGGUGAA